GAGUUUGAUCUUGGCUCAGGAUGAACGCCGGCGGUGUGCCUAAUACAUGCAAGUCGUACGCACUGGCCCAACUGAUUGAUGGUGCUUGCACCUGAUCGACGAUGGAUCACCAGUGAGUGGCGGACGGUGAGUAACACGUAGGUAACCUGCCCUGUACAGGGGAUAACAAUCAGAAAUGACUGCUAAUACCGCAUAAGACCACAGCACCGCAUGGUGCAGGGGUAAAAACUCCGGUGGUACAGGAUGGACCCGCGUCUGAUUAGCUGGUUGGUGAGGUAACGGCUCACCAAGGCGACGAUCAGUAGCCGGCUUGAGAGAGUGAACGGCCACAUUGGGACUGAGACACGGCCCAAACUCCUACGGGAGGCAGCAGUGGGGAAUAUUGCACAAUGGGGAAACCCUGAUGCAGCAACGCCGCGUGAGUGAAGAAGUAUUUCGGUAUGUAAAGCUCUAUCAGCAGGGAAGAAAGUGACGGUACCUGACUAAGAAGCCCCGGCUAACUACG
rnacentral:rRNA from 1 species